rnacentral:rRNA from 1 species
UAGCGUAUAUUAAAGUUGUUGUGGUUAAAAAGCUCGUAGUUGGAUGUCGGCGUGCAUUGGUCGGUUUGUAUAGCUACAAUACUGACUCUCUGGCACGUUUCUUGGUCAGAAUUUGGUGGGUGAUCUUAAACGAUUGUCCGCCAGGACUGGCUGGUUUACUUUGAAAAAAUUAGAGUGCUUAAAGCAGGCCUUGUUGCCUGAAUAUUCGUGCAUGGAAUAAUAGAAUAGGACGUUGUUUCUAUUUUGUUGGUUGUUGGAAGGAACGUAAUGAUUAAUAGGGAUUGCCGGGGGCAUUUGUAUUCAAGCGCU